GUGCCAGCCGCCGCGGUAAUACGGAAGGUCCGAGCGUUAUCCGGAUUUAUUGGGUUUAAAGGGAGCGUAGGCGGAAUGGUAAGUCAGCCGUUAAAUAGCGGGGCUCAACCCCGUAGUGCGGUUGAAACUGCCGUUCUUGAGUGCACGAGAGGUAGGUGGAAUUCGUGGUGUAGCGGUGAAAUGCUUAGAUAUCACGAAGAACUCCGAUUGCGAAGGCAGCUUACUGGUGUGUUACUGACGCUGAUGCUCGAAGGUGCGGGUAUCAAACAGGAUUAGAUACCCUGGUAGUCCGCACGGUAAACGAUGGAUGCUCGCGAUGCGCCCCUUUGGGGUACGUCGCCAAGCGAAAGCGUUAAGCAUCCCACCUGGGGAGUACGCCGGCAACGGUGAAACUCAAAGGAAUUGACGGGGGCCCGCACAAGCGGAGGAACAUGUGGUUUAAUUCGAUGAUACGCGAGGAACCUUACCCGGGCUUGAAAUGUACCUGACGGAGGGCAGAGACGCCCUCUUUCUUCGGACAGGUAUGUAGGUGCUGCAUGGUUGUCGUCAGCUCGUGCCGUGAGGUGUCGGCUUAAGUGCCAUAACGAGCGCAACCCUUAUCGCUGGUUACCAUCAAUUCGGUUGGGGACUCCAGCGACACUGCCAUCGCAAGAUGUGAGGAAGGCGGGGAUGACGUCAAAUCAGCACGGCCCUUACGUCCGGGGCUACACACGUGUUACAAUGGGGGGCACAGCAAGCAGGAUCAUGGCGACAUGGUCCGAAUCCUCAAAUCCCCUCCCAGUUCGGAUCGGAGUCUGCAACCCGACUCCGUGAAGCUGGAUUCGCUAGUAAUCGCGCAUCAGCCAUGGCGCGGUGAAUACGUUCCCGGGCCUUGUACACACCGCCCGU
rnacentral:rRNA from 1 species